UGACCUCGGAUCAGGUAGGACUACCCGCUGAACUUAAGCAUAUCAAUAAGCGGAGGAAAAGAAACCAACAGGGAUUGCCCCAGUAACGGCGAGUGAAGCGGCAACAGCUCAAAUUUGAAAUCUGGCCCUCGGGUCCGAGUUGUAAUUUGGAGAGGAUGCUUCUGGCGCGGCGCCGUCCGAGUUCCUUGGAACAGGACGCCAUAGAGGGUGAGAGCCCCGUACGGGCGGACGCCUAGCCUUUGUGAAGCUCCUUCGACGAGUCGAGUAGUUUGGGAAUGCUGCUCAAAAUGGGAGGUAAAUUUCUUCUAAAGCUAAAUACCGGCCAGAGACCGAUAGCGCACAAGUAGAGUGAUCGAAAGAUGAAAAGCACUUUGAAAAGAGGGUUAAAAAGUACGUGAAAUUGUUGAAAGGGAAGCGCCUGUGACCAGACUUGCUGCCCGCGGAUCAUCCGGCGUUCUUCGCCGGUGCGCUCCGCGGGCGGCAGGCCAGCAUCGGUUCUCCUGGGGGGUUAAAGGUUGCGGGAACGUGGCUCCUACGGGAGUGU
rnacentral:rRNA from 1 species